rnacentral:misc_RNA from 1 species
AACGCAAGUUGCGCCCGAAGCCAUCAGGUCGAGGGCACGUCUGCCUGGGCGUCACACGCCGUUGCCCCCCCCAAACCCCCGAAACCCCUCUCCCGCUCCUAGCCGGGCGAGUGGGGACCGCGGGGGGGGCGGACAAUGACCUCCCGUGCGCGCUUCGACCCGCGGUUGGUCCAAAAAUCGAGUCCCCUGUCACGUCGUCCUGGCAGCAGGUAGUCGAUCAUUCGGUGCCACGGCCAUGUGCGUCGUGCACGCAUCGGGACUCCGAUAGACCCCGGCGCGCCCGUCGCGGGUGCCUCCAAUGCGACCCCAGGUCAGGCGGGGCUACCCGCUGAGUUUAA